CAAAAAGCCGGUCUCAGUUCGGAUUGGGGUCUGCAACUCGACCCCAUGAAGUCGGAGUCGCUAGUAAUCGCAGAUCAGCAUUGCUGCGGUGAAUACGUUCCCGGGCCUUGUACACACCGCCCGUCACGUCACGAAAGUCGGUAACACCCGAAGCCGGUGGCCCAACCCCUUGUGGGAGGGAGCUGUCGAAGGUGGGACUGGCGAUUGGGACGAAGUCGUAACAAGGUAGCCGUACCGGAAGGUGCGGCUGGAUCACCUCCUUUCUAAGGAG
rnacentral:rRNA from 1 species